rnacentral:rRNA from 1 species
UGGGGAAUAUUGGGCAAUGGGCGCAAGCCUGACCCAGCAACGCCGCGUGAAGGAAGAAGGCUUUCGGGUUGUAAACUUCUUUUCUUAGGGACGAAGCAAGUGACGGUACCUAAGGAAUAAGCCACGGCUAAAUACGUGCCAGCAGCCGCGGUAAUACGUAUGGAGCAAGCGUUAUCCGGAUUUACUGGGUGUAAAGGGAGUGUAGGCGGCUUUGCAAGUCAGAUGUGAAAGCCCGGGGCUCAACCCCGGGACUGCAUUUGAAACUGUGAAGCUGGAGUGUCGGAGAGGUAAGUGGAAUUCCUAGUGUAGCGGUGAAAUGCGUAGAUAUUAGGAAGAACACCAGUGGCGAAGGCGGCUUACUGGACGAUUACUGACGCUGAGGCUCGAAAGCGUGGGGAGCAAACAGGAUUAGAUACCCUGGUAGU